rnacentral:rRNA from 1 species
GACGAACGCUGGCGGCGUGCUUAACACAUGCAAGUCGAACGGAAAGGCCCUGCUUUUGUGGGGUGCUCGAGUGGCGAACGGGUGAGUAACACGUGAGUAACCUGCCCUUGACUUUGGGAUAACUUCAGGAAACUGGGGCUAAUACCGGAUAGGAGCUCCUGCUGCAUGGUGGGGGUUGGAAAGUUUCGGCGGUUGGGGAUGGACUCGCGGCUUAUCAGCUUGUUGGUGGGGUAGUGGCUUACCAAGGCUUUGACGGGUAGCCGGCCUGAGAGGGUGACCGGCCACCUUGGGACUGCGAUACGGCCCAGACUCCUACGGGAGGCAGCAGUGGGGAAUAUUGCACAAUGGGCGGGAGCCUGAUGCAGCAACGCCGCGUGCGGGAUGACGGCCUUCGGGUUGUAAACCGCUUUCGCCUGUGACGAAGCGUGAGUGACGGUAAUGGGUAAAGAAGCACCGGCUAACUACGUG